CCUAAUACAUGCAAGUCGAACGCUUUGUCUUUAAUUGAUCUGACGAGCUUGCUCUAAUUUGAUUUUAUCUGACAAAGAGUGGCGAACGGGUGAGUAACACGUGGGUAACCUACCUCUUAGCAGGGGAUAACAUUGGAAACAAGUGCUAAUACCGUAUAAUACCAACAACCGCAUGGUUGUUGGUUGAAAGAUGGUUCUGCUAUCACUAAGAGAUGGACCCGCGGUGCAUUAGCUAGUUGGUAAGGUAACGGCUUACCAAGGCAAUGAUGCAUAGCCGAGUUGAGAGACUGAUCGGCCACAAUGGGACUGAGACACGGCCCAUACUCCUACGGGAGGCAGCAGUAGGGAAUCUUCCACAAUGGGCGCAAGCCUGAUGGAGCAACGCCGCGUGUGUGAAUGAAGGGUUUCGGCUCGUAAAACACUGUUAUAAGAGAAGAACGGCACUGAGAGUAACUGUUCAGUGUGUGACGGUAUCUUACCAGAAAGGAACGGCUAAAUACGUGCCAGCCGCCGC
rnacentral:rRNA from 1 species